AGAGCGAACGCUGGCGGCAGGCCUAACACAUGCAAGUCGAGCGCCCGUAGCAAUACGGGAGCGGCAGACGGGAUAGUAACACGUGGGAACGCGCCCUUCGGUUCGGAAUAACUCAGGGAAACUUGAGCUAAUACCGGAUACGCCCUUACGGGGAAAGAUUUAUUGCCGAAGGAACGGCUCGCGUCCGAUUAGCUAGUUGGUGAGGUAAUGGCUCACCACGGCGACGAUCGGUAGCUGGUCUGAGAGGAUGACCAGCAUCACUGGGACUGAGACACGGCCCAGACUCCUACGGGAGGCAGCAGUGGGGAAUAUUGGACAAUGGGCGCAAGCCUGAUCCAGCCAUGCCGCGUGGAUGAUGAAGGCCUUAGGGUUGUAAGUCCUUUUAACGGGGAAGAUAAUGACGGUACCGUAGAAUAAGCCCCGGCUAACUUCGUGCCAGCAGCCGC
rnacentral:rRNA from 1 species